rnacentral:rRNA from 1 species
GGUGAACGCUAGCGGCAGGCCUAACACAUGCAAGUUGAACGGUGUCGAUGUGGGGCCAUCUUUGUGCCCCACUUAGACACAGUAGCAAACGGGUGAGUAGCGCACAAGAAUCUACCUCUUACCUCGGUCUAAGGAAGGUCAGCAACAGCUGUCCACACCGAAUCCCGGAUAAGACUAAAACCAACCAAUCGCCUAACAAAGGGUUGAUGGUAGAAGAUACCAAUGUGUUGGCUAUUCAAAGGCCAAGUGGCCGGUAAGAGAUGAGCUUGUGUAGGAUUAGGUAGUUGGUGAGGUAAAGGCUACACCAAGCCAAAGAUCCUUAGCCGGUCUGAGAGGAUGGCCGGCCACACUGGGACUGAGACACGGCCCAGACGGUUUCGGGCGGCAGCAGUGAGGAAUCUUGGACAAUGAGCGAAAGCUUGAUCCAGCCAUGCCGCGUGAGGGAAGAAGGCUAAAUGGGUUGUAAACCUCUAACCUCAGGAUAGAUUGUGACAUAGCUUGAGGAAAAAGUCCCGGCUAACUCCGUGCCAGCCGCCGC